GACGAACCGUGCGAACGUUAUUCGGAAUCAUUGGGCUUAAAGGGCGCGUAGGCGGCGGCGUAAGUUGGAAGUGAAAUCCCAUCGGCUCAACCGUGGAAUCGCUCCCAGUACUGCGUCGCUCGAGGGGGAUAGGGGUCUGCGGAACUACCGGUGGAGCGGUGAAAUGUGUUGAUAUCGGUGGGAACGCCAGUGGCGAAAGCGGCAGACUGGACCCUUCCUGACGCUGAGGCGCGAAAGCUAGGGGAGCAAACGGG
rnacentral:rRNA from 1 species